GAAGCCGGUGAGCUAACCCGCAAGGGAGGCAGCCGUCGAAGGUGGGGUCGGCGAUUGGGGUGAAGUCGUAACAAGGUAGCCGUACCGGAAGGUGCGGCUGGAUCACCUCCUUUCUAGGGAG
rnacentral:rRNA from 1 species